GAUGAACGCUGGCGGCGUGCUUAACACAUGCAAGUCGAACGGGAAACCUUUUAUUGAAGCUUCGGCAGAUUUAGCUGGUUUCUAGUGGCGGACGGGUGAGUAACGCGUGGGUAACCUGCCUUAUACAGGGGGAUAACAACCAGAAAUGGUUGCUAAUACCGCAUAAGCGCACAGGACCGCAUGGUCCGGUGUGAAAAACUCCGGUGGUAUAAGAUGGACCCGCGUUGGAUUAGCUAGUUGGCAGGGUAACGGCCUACCAAGGCGACGAUCCAUAGCCGGCCUGAGAGGGUGAACGGCCACAUUUGGACUGAGACACAGCCCAGACUCCUACGGGAGGCAGCAGUGGGGAAUAUUGCACAAUGGGGGAAACCCUGAUGCAGCGACGCCGCGUGAAGGAAGAAGUAUCUCGGUAUGUAAACUUCUAUCAGCAGGGAAGAUAGUGACGGUACCUGACUAAGAAGCCCCGGCUAACUACGUG
rnacentral:rRNA from 1 species